rnacentral:rRNA from 1 species
UACGGAGGAUGCAAGCGUUAUCCGGAAUGAUUGGGCGUAAAGCGUCCGCAGGUGGCUGUGUAAGUCUGCUGUUAAAGAGUGAGGCUCAACCUCAUAAGGCAGUGGAACUACAUGGCUAGAGUGCGUUCGGGGCAGAGGGAAUUCCUGGUGUAGCGGUGAAAUGCGUAGAGAUCAGGAAGAACACCGGUGGCGAAAGCGCUCUGCUAGGCCGCAACUGACACUGAGGACGAAAGCUAGGGGAGCGAAUGGG